rnacentral:lncRNA from 1 species
CCAGCCACUCUUCUGAAAUGCUCAGUGCAUUUCAGAUCCGUCCUUCUUUUUAUUGAAGAAUUUCUAAUCCGAAGCUCGUGCCAUGUGGUAGAAUCAGAUCUGGUUACUGGUUGCACCAUAAAGACACCACAGGAAUAGUUGGCUCCACUGUACAACAAUGUCUCAUUGUAAUCUUGACGUUCAUUUUUUGCU